rnacentral:lncRNA from 1 species
GAAGAGGAGGACUUCAUUUUUCAAAUAAUCUGAAUGGCCAGGUCCUGUUACAACACUCAAAAGCUCAUACGGGAGUGGUUUCUCUCAGUCUGACAGUUUGUUUUUCCUCAUCUUUAAAGUUACUAUAACAUAAUUACAGCUAUGCCUUGGCCAUACCUGUGGGACCUGCCUCAAAGUCUUAAUUUCUAAGGUGGCUUCCAUGAAGGAACAGAAGAAAAUCUUGAUGUUUUCAUGCAGCAGCAGCAGUGUGGAGCCUCAGAAGAAAACAGAAGACAGAAGCCUGGGGGGGAUAGCAAGGGGUGCGGGGAGGAGGCUCUGGUCAGAAGCCUUGGUUUUGUGGCAAAUUGACUUAUUUUCUAUCAUGUCUCUAAAAUGUCUUUCUCAUCUUUG